rnacentral:tRNA from 1 species
GGGGAUGUAGCUCAGUGGUAGAGCACUUGCCUAGCAUUUAUAAGGUCCUGGGUUUGAUCCCCCAGUGCCACCA